rnacentral:rRNA from 1 species
CAGUCGCCACGGUAAUACGAAGGGGGCUAGCGUUGUUCGGAAUUACUGGGCGUAAAGCGCACGUAGGCGGAUAUUUAAGUCAGGGGUGAAAUCCCAGAGCUCAACUCUGGAACUGCCUUUGAUACUGGGUAUCUUGAGUAUGGAAGAGGUGAGUGGAAUUCCGAGUGUAGAGGUGAAAUUCGUAGAUAUUCGGAGGAACACCAGUGGCGAAGGCGGCUCACUGGUCCAUUACUGACGCUGAGGUGCGAAAGCGUGGGGAGCAAACAGGAUUAGAUACCCCGUGUAGUCCCUGUCUCUUAUA